rnacentral:lncRNA from 1 species
GACGAGGUUGUCACAGCGGUGGUGUAGUAAGGGGUCGGCUUUUAAGUGUUUGGUUCCCAGAUCUAUUUUUUCUUUCGUCAGAUCUGGUUUUUGGUUGCAGCCGACGGCGGUGAAGCAUGGCUCUGCUUUAGAUCGAGGGUUGUUCGUCGAUUGGUUAUCCUCGUUUCUCUUCUGGGUUCGAGGUGUUUUGGAGGCAGAUCUGAAGAGGGUAGCGGUGGUUGUUGUUGUAGGUUCUUGUCUCGAGGCGUCUUGGAACGAGAGCUAUCUCCGUCCUCGUUAAAGGUAACGCUGGAGAUA